ensembl:lncRNA
CUGUGUCUGAGGAACAGCCACGAUCAGGUCAAGAGCUUGUGGGUGAAAAUCAAGGAUCGGUCCAGCAAAGGGCAUCUAGUGGCUGGGGUCUGCUACAGGCCAUCAGAUCAGGAGGAGGCUGUGGACAAGGCCUUCUUGCUUCAGCUGCAGGAGGUGUCGCGCUCUCGGGCUCUUGUCCUGAUGGGGGAUUUCAACCACCCAGAUAUCUGCUGGGAUAGUGGCAUGGCGGGUGGCAGACAAUCCGGGAGAUUCCUGGAGUCUGUUGAGGACAGCUUCCUGGUCCGGGUAAUAGAUGGACCAACCCGAGGUGAAGCCUUACUGGACUGGGUGCUCAUUAAUGAAGAGGAGAGCAUUAGAGAGGUUAAGAUUGGAGGCAGCCUGGGCUGCAGUGACCAGGCCUUGGUAGAAUUUGUGAUCGUGAAGAAUGCGGGCCUGGCAAAAAGCAGAGCUAGGACCCUGUGCUUUAGGAGAGCAAACUUCCGGCUGCUCAAGGAACUGCUGGAUGGGAUCCGCUGGGAAACGGUCCUUAAGGGCAUGGGUACAGAACAGAGCUGGCAGCUCUUGAAGGACACCCUUCUGAGAGCACAAUGGCUCUCCAUCCCCCAGCAGAAGUCAAGCAGGGGAGGCAGGUGACGGUCAUGGCUGUGUAAGGACCUGCAGCUUAAACUGAGAGAAAAGGGGGAACUGUACAGAAGGUGGAAGCAGGGUUGUGUAUCCUGGGAGGAAUACAGGGCUGUUGUCCGUGUGUGUAGAGAUAGGAUUACGAAAGCCAAGGAGCAGAUGGAGCUGAACUUGCCAAGGGAUGUGAAAGAUAACAAGAAGGGGUUCUACAGGUACAUAGGCAGGAGGAGACAGGCCAAGGAGAGUGCUCCCCCUCUGAUGAAAGGCAAUGGGGAGCUGGCUUCCUCAGACAUAGAAAAAGCUGAGGUACUCAAUGAGUGCUUUGCCUCAGUCUUCACGGGUGGUCAGGCUUCCCACAUCCGCCAGGACCACAAGCCUCUAGGUGAGGGUGUGGGGAGUGGUUUCUGUCCCACUGUAACGGUGGAACUGUGUUCUGGGCUGCAUUAAAAAAGGGGUGGCCAGCAGGGAGAGGGAGGUGAUUGUGCCCCUCUACUCAGCUCUUGUGAGGCCCCAUCUGGAAGUACUGAGACCAGGCCUGGGGCCCCCAGCACAGGAAGGAUGUGGAGCUCUUGGAGCAGGUCCAGAGGAGGGCCACUGAGAUGAUCAGAGGGCUGGAGCACCUCUCUUAUGAAGAAAAGUUGAGGGAACUAGGCUUACUUAGUUUGGAGAAGAGAUGGCUCCGGGGAGACCUCAUUGUGGCCUUCCAGUACUUGAAGCGAGCAUACAAACAGGGGGGGAGCAGCUGUUUACAAGGGUGGAUAGUGAUAGGACAAGGGGGAAUGGUUUUAAACUGAGACAGGCGAGGUUUAGGUUGGAUAUCAGGAAGAAGUUUUUCACCCAGAGGGUGGUGACACACUGGAACAGGUUGCCCAAGGAGGUUGUGGAUGCCCCAUCCCUGGAGGCAUUCAAGGCCAGGCUGGAUGUGGCUCUAGGCAGCCUGGUCUGCUGGUUGGUGACCCUGCACAUAACAGGGGGUUGAAACUCGAUGAUCGUUAUGGUCCUUUUCAACCCAGGCCAUUCUAUGAUUCUAUGAUAGCGCGGCUGAAGUCCCUUCUGCAGUCACUGGGGCAGCUUUCCCACCUCCAGACCUACAGGCAACAUACACACAAAGUGCAGCACGGCUGUUUGUGCUCCACACUCAGAGAGCAAGUUGUCAAGUUAGAGCUUUGCAAGGACCAUGGAGGUGCGGCACUGAUGGACAUGGUUAGUGGGCAUGGU